GGCUGUAGCUCGCUGAUGGAGCUCUCUCCUCCACCAAAUCUCUUAAUUCCUAGGAUUAGAAGUCCACAACACGUAGUAAGAUUGUGGGAUCUGAAUCUGAAUCAGAGUCCAAGGAGGUGGAGGCGGAGGCGGAGACAGAGAUGGAUGGAAGUUCCAAGAGCAACGAGUGCACUGGAACAUGCCGGGGGGAAGAUGGUGGUGGAGCUGGUGGGAGUGUUCAACCAGCUGACGGAGAGGAUGAAUGUGUUGUCAACGAGUUCUUCGCGGAUACUCUUCAAGGCUCUGAAGCUGUGCAUUCCAAUACUGCAGAACUUACCUCUCGCCCCUGAUGGCCGGCCUCCUCUCUCCAAGGCUUUGUCUGUGGCUCUUGUUCUAGCCGAUCUUCAGAUGGAUGCAGAAGUUAUUUCGGCCAGUAUAUUGACACAAGUUUUUGAGGCCGGUGCAAUAACCAUACAUGAAGUCAGAUAUCGCAUAGGUACUGGUACUGCUCAUCUACUGCACGAAAGUUUGCGUGUGAAGAACAUUCCCUCAAGAAUUGAAGUUUUGGAUGAUGAUGGCGCUGCUGCUUUAAGGAAGUUUUGCCUUACCUACUAUGAUAUUCGAGCUGUGAUUCUGGACUUAGCUCUCAAGCUUGAUAUGAUGAGGCAUUUAGAUUAUCUGCCUAGAUAUCAGCAACAAAUGCUGUCUCUUCAAGUUAUGAAGAUACAUGCCCCCUUGGCUCAUGUUGUUGGAACUAACUACUUGUCAUUGGAGCUGGAGGAUCUCUCAUUUCGCUACCUUUUCCCAUAUUCAUACCUCUAUGUGGAUACAUGGUUACGCAGCCAUCAGACAGAAAGUAAGCCUCUAAUUGAU
rnacentral:misc_RNA from 1 species